rnacentral:rRNA from 1 species
UGGGGAAUAUUGCACAAUGGGCGCAAGCCUGAUGCAGCCAUGCCGCGUGUAUGAAGAAGGCCUUCGGGUUGUAAAGUACUUUCAGCGGGGAGGAAGGGAGUAAAGUUAAUACCUUUGCUCAUUGACGUUACCCGCAGAAGAAGCACCGGCUAACUCCGUGCCAGCAGCCGCGGUAAUACGGAGGGUGCAAGCGUUAAUCGGAAUUACUGGGCGUAAAGCGCACGCAGGCGGUUUGUUAAGUCAGAUGUGAAAUCCCCGGGCUCAACCUGGGAACUGCAUCUGAUACUGGCAAGCUUGAGUCUCGUAGAGGGGGGUAGAAUUCCAGGUGUAGCGGUGAAAUGCGUAGAGAUCUAGAGGAAGACCGGUGGCGAAGGCGGCCACCUGGACGAAGACUGACGCUCAGGUGCGAAAGCGUGGGGAGCAAACAGG